GAUGAACGCUGGCGGCGUGCUUAACACAUGCAAGUCGAACGGAAAGGCCCCAGCUUGCUGGGGUACUCGAGUGGCGAACGGGUGAGUAACACGUGGGUGAUCUGCCCUGCACUUUGGGAUAAGCUUGGGAAACUGGGUCUAAUACCGAAUAUGACCACUUCUUGGAUGUUGUGGUGGAAAGCUUUUGGGUUGUGGAUGAGCCUGCGGCCUAUCAGCUUGUUGGUGGGGUAAUGGCCUACCAAGGCGGCGACGGGUAUCCGGCCUGAGAGGGUGUACGGACACAUUGGGACUGAGAUACGGCCCAGACUCCUACGGGAGGCAGCAGUGGGGAAUAUUGCACAAUGGGCGCAAGCCUGAUGCAGCGACGCCGCGUGGGGGAUGAAGGCCUUCGGGUUGUAAGCUCCUUUCGCUAUCGACGAAGCCACUUGUGGUGACGGUAGGUAGAUAAGAAGCACCGGCUAACUACGUGCCAGCCGCCGCCGUAA
rnacentral:rRNA from 1 species